UUGACCCUUAACUUUGAAAAACAAGAGUAAAUGGAGCCCGUGUCGAGCUUGUUCAAAAAUACCCUGAGUCAAAUGCUGUAGUCCCAUUAACUCAGUUUAGCCGCUCUGCUCGACUCAGCCGCCCUACCGCAACUUGCUGACUUCAGGAGAGGCCGAACCUUCUGUAAGUCGAUGGUCUCUUAGGCAACCCUGCCUCAUCCGGGCCCCCAAGGACAUUCAGUUGCAAAUGUCUCAUCCUCACCUUGUGGGUAUUAGUGCUUGGCACGUGGUUUGUUCUCCGGAAUUAUCCUUAUUUUGAUGUUAAUGUCACUGGUAUUUAGGUGACUGGA